AUCUGCCGGCACACCCAGCCUCAAAGAGCUGGCCCUUGUGAGCCUGGGGAUCCGGGAUCGGGACUGAACUGCAGGUUUGGGACAAAGAGGAAGUGCGCGAGACUUUGAGGAAUUUCCUCUUGGAUGAGACUGGAGAAUUUUCACGAGCUAUGCAACCAUGAGAACUUCCAAGGUGCUCGGAGGCUUGGUUGGUGAAUCAUGAUGGAUAGCACCAACAAGGGAGCUUUACUCAGC